rnacentral:rRNA from 1 species
UGAGGAAUAUUGGUCAAUGGGCGAGAGCCUGAACCAGCCAAAUCGCGUGAAGGAAGACUGCCUUAUGGGUUGUAAACUUCUUUUAUACAGGAAUAAAAAAGGGGACGUGUCCCUUAUUGCAUGUACUGUAUGAAUAAGCAUCGGCUAACUCCGUGCCAGCAGCCGCGGUAAUACGGAGGAUGCGAGCGUUAUCCGGAUUUAUUGGGUUUAAAGGGUGCGCAGGCGGGCUUUUAAGUCAGCGGUGAAAUCUCGGGGCUUAACUCCGAAACUGCCGUUGAAACUGGGAGUCUUGAGUAUGGAUGAAGUAGGCGGAAUUCGUUGUGUAGCGGUGACAUGCUUAGAUAUAACGAGGAACUCCGAUUGCGUAGGCAGCUUACUAAGCCAUAACUGACGCUCAAGCACGAAAGCGUGGGGAUCAAACAGGAUUAGAUACCCUGGUAGUCCACGCCGUAAACGAUGAUUACUAGUUGUAUGCGAUAUACCGUAUGUGACUAAGCGAAAGCGAUAAGUAAUCCACCUGGGGAGUACGCCGGCAACGGUGGAACUCAAAUGAAUUGACGGGGUCAUAGCUGUUUCCUG